AAAUUUACAAAAGUUUAUAGCCCUGAAUCUUGGGUUCUGCGCCAGGGGAAAAACGACAUUCAAAACCCCUGGAGACACAGGAAGCUCCGCUAAGGCAGGGCUGGCAGACACGUGGGCCAGGAAAUGGCUCCCGGAAUGCAGAGCACCAUACUGCUAGUACCGAAGAGCACAAGGCUUUCGAGUCAAGGAGUUUGGAGAGAUUUUCUUGCCAUAGACAAUGGAAGACCAGCAGAAUGAAAGAUCGCAAGUGAAUCUGCCAGCAACGCACAGGCUUUGUUUGAGGAGCAAGGAGCUGAAGGAGCCGCCAUCUGUGAGCGAAUUCUAGCCAACAGGGAUCCUGAUGAUCAUGCUCAUCCAGCUGCACCUCAGCCCUGCCAAGACCCAGCAGAAGAGGACUUAGCUUGUAAAGAAACACAGCUGCCUACUAUGAAGCACUAGGACCACGGGUUCCUUCUCCACUGAAGACACAGAGAAGGCCCAGGACUAGACUGCUAUCUGUUCUACUCUAAACACCAAUCACUCCAUCUCCAUCUGGAGACUGUUGGCCCGGGUAUCUUGGGCCCCAUGUCCACCACUACCUCUCCAAUAGUCCCUUUCUGGCAGACCACAGAUGCCA